rnacentral:rRNA from 1 species
UAAUUCUAGAGCUAAUACAUGCAGGAGUUCCCGACUUCGGAAGGGAUGUAUUUUUUAGAUAAGAAACCAAACCGGUCUCCGGUUGCGUGUUGAGUCAUACUAACUGCUCGAAUCGCACGGCUUUACGUUGGCGAUGGUUCAUUCAAAUUUCUGCCCUAUCAGCUUUCUAUGGUAGGAUAGAGGCCUACCAUGGCGUUAACGGGUAACGGAGAA